rnacentral:rRNA from 1 species
AUUGAACGCUGGCGGCAUGCCUUACACAUGCAAGUCGAACGGUAACGGGCCUUCGGGCGCCGACGAGUGGCGAACGGGUGAGUAAUGCAUCGGAACGUACCUUUCAGUGGGGGAUAACGUAGCGAAAGUUACGCUAAUACCGCAUAUUCUGUGAGCAGGAAAGCAGGGGAUCGCAAGACCUUGCGCUGAUUGAGCGGCCGAUGUCAGAUUAGCUAGUUGGUGAGGUAAAGGCUCACCAAGGCGACGACCUGUAGCGGGUCUGAGAGGAUGAUCCGCCACACUGGAACUGAGACACGGUCCAGACUCCUACGGGAGGCAGCAGUGGGGGAAUUUUUGGACAAUGGGGGCGAACCCUGACCCAGCCAUGCCGCGUGAGUGAAGAAGGCCU